CCUAUUCCUCCGCAGGGGGACUCUCUCCAUGUAGCAGAGGGGAAUCUGCAGGAUCCCAGAUUGGAAUUUCUGCAGAAGGAUGAGGAGGAAAUGAAGGGGCAAACCUCGGGAGGAGUAGUUACUAGGCUAAUGUCCAAGCAGAUACAGCAGGGUGCAUGCCCCCCCCCGAGGAUAGCCCAGAGGAUGUCCCCGUCAAAUCUCUUGCGAGUAAUAAAAGUAUAGUUAGAGAGAUGCCUUUACAGGUGCACGAUCAACCUUAUAUGGGCAAUGAUGGACGGUUACAACAUGCUAAUAUUGUGGAAUAUAAAGGAUGGCUAGAAUGGGAUUUGAAAGAGUGGGGACGGUUGUCAGGGUCUUUUGGGGAAAAUCCCCGAAAGAUCAUAGAACUUCUAGAAAGAUUGUUUUUAAGUUAUAAUCCUACUUAUACGGAUGUGGAUCAGUUGUUAAGUAGAGUUUUGACCGGAGAGGAACGUAGUAGAUUGUGGAUGGCAGAAAGGACAUGGGGAGAUAGCAAUGCAGUUAAUCUUACUUGGAUGGAUAGGCGGGAUCUGGCCGCUGGCUGGAAUCCCCUAGACUGGACUCAGCCAAGGCUGACUCAGCUGCGAACAGAUCGAGAGCGAUUGUUAGAGAGACUCAAGGAAAUGGCUCGCCGCUCGCCUAAUCAGGCUGAGUUCAUGCAGAUUCGGCAGGAAUCUGAUGAGCCGCCCAGAAAGUUCUGGUCGAGGCUAUUGGAGGGGGCCCGAAUGUUCACUCAGAUGGAUCCUGAGAGAGAAGCAGACCACCCUACUCUUAUUUCGUUUUUUGUGAAUCAGUCGGUGCCCCCUGUAAGGGAUUACUUCUUAAAGUUUCGCCCUGGUUGGGGAGGUGAGUCAGUCACUUCAGUGUUGGACGUAGCUGAUUUUGCCUGGGAGAAAGAAAGGGAAAGUAGUAAAAAGAAAGAGAAAAAGGAAGAAUAUAAGCUGAUGGCUUUAGCUUUUCACGGCGGUGUUCGAGGCAAAGGCCGUGGCCGUGGCAGGGGAUUCCAGGGUGCUCGGGGAAGAGGGUCCUGGCGACCCCAGCCAUCAGGAAAUUGUUUUCAGUGCGGACAGCCCGGUCACUUUAAACGUGAAUGCCCCUGGGGACGCCCAGAGGGUCUGGUUGCAUCCGCAGAUGCUUACACAAGUGAGGAAUACACCCCUGCACCACCAGCUCAGCCCAUUCCCCAGGCCUGGAUCAACUACGGGAAACAGCAGCAGCCGCAGCAAACUCAGCCUCCUCAAUGACGGUACCCCGGGGGCGAAGGCAAACAAUGUGAUGGUCUUAUUUCCUUAAUGUCUUUAGCCGGCUCCUUUCUCACUUUCUCCCCUCCCAGCAAAGAGCCUCGUUUAACCCUUUCAGUCCAGGGACUGCCUGUCUCUUUCCUCAUUGAUACUGGGGCUACUUUCUCUCUUUUAAAUCAUGCCCCCUCUCCCUGGCUAUCCUCUGAGGUUAAAACUGCGACUGGGGUGGAGGGCAACCCACAGUCUCUGGGACUCACUUUGCCUUUGAAUGUUAUUUAUGCUGAGAAAUGUUUUCCUCACCGUUUUCUUUUUUCCCCAGCUUGUCCGAUCCCUUUGAUGGGCCGGGAUUUACUCUCAUUCCUGUGCACCCAGACUCUCAGUAUCUCUUUGGUUUCACCUGGGAGGGACAAAGUUAUGUCUGGCAACGACUUCCUCAAGGCUACAGAGACAGCUCCACGAUUUUCAGCCAGUGCCUCCGCCACGACUUGGAAGGUUUCACCAGUCCGCAGGGAUCCACAUUGGUCCUAUACGUAGAUGACAUCCUAUUAGGUAAUCGCGAAGAAGCUGCCCUCCGCAUCGAUGGUAAGGCACUUUUAUUAUACCUACACACCAGAGGCCACAAGGUAGACCCUAAAAAGAUUCAAUGGGUCUCACAGAAGGUCCGAUAUCUGGGCUUCCUGUUAACCCCAGAGGGAAGACAGAUGGACCCAGCCCGCAUAAAGACUAUUCAAAACUGCCCUCUACCGAACACCAAGAAACAACUUUGAGGUUUCUUAGGAUUAAUUGGCUUCUGUCGCCCCUGGUUGCCGUCCUGCGGGGAGUUAAGCAAACCGCUCCACCGACUCACUGCUAACCUUGCUCCUGACCCUUUGCAGUGGUCCCCGGACACUAUUCAAGCCUUUCAGUUACUCAAGGACAGUGUGACCUCCUCCAUGUCUCUCCGCCCCCCCAAUUACAGCAAACCCUUUCACCUUUUUGUCCACGAGAGGGGCGGAAUUGCUAGUGGUGUCCUUACCCAGCUGAGCGGGCCCCACCAUUUCCCGCUUGCUUUUUACUCUCAGCAAAUCGACCCUGUCGCUCAGGGAACCCCAUCCUGCACCCGGACUCUGGCAGCAGCUGCCCUGCUGAUCACAAAGGCAAAGAGCCUAACCCUGGGUCAUUUUACCACGGUUUGGACCUCUCAUGCCUUGUCAGCCCUUCUGCGUAGGGGCACAACCCAAGUCUUUUCGGCCCAUCAUCAGCAACAGCUAGAGGCCGAACUCUUAGAAGACACUAACCUAAUUUUUGAAAGGUGUGGACCCCUUAAUCCAGCUACCUUGCUUCCUGACCUGCCAGUCCUCCAGGAUCAGCACGACUGUGUGGAAGUAGUUUACAGCAUCUUACAGAUAAGAGACAACCUGUUUGACGUGCCACUGGACAAUCCCGAUUGCAUCCUCUUCUCGGACGGAAGCUCCUUCUAUGUUGAUGGCAAGCGUUUCACUGGUUAUGCUGUCACCUCUGAAUGGGACAUUCAAGAGGCCGCCUCACUGCCAGGCAACUGGGGAGCCCAAGCCGCUGAACUCUAUGCCCUGGCCCGAGCUUGCCAGUUGGCCGCUGGUAAGACCGUUACCAUUUUUACUGAUAGCAAAUAUGCUUUUGGAGUUGUGCAUUGUCAUAUCCACCUCUGGAAGUUUCGAGGUUUCCAGACAGCUGCCGGUAAACCCAUUCAGCACCUCCCCCUCAUCCACAAGCUUUUGGACGCCCUCCAAAAACCCUCUGUCCUGGCUGUAGUUCACUGCCGGGCCCAUACUAAAGAUAGUAGCCCCGUUACCCGUGGGAAUGCCCUGGCUGACGCCUCUGCCAAGAAGGCUGCCACCUUA